rnacentral:rRNA from 1 species
UACAGAGGGGGCAAGCGUUGUUCGGAACUACUGGGCGUAAAGGGCGCGUAGGCGGCCUGUUAAGUCGAACGUGAAAUCCCCGGGCUCAACCCGGGAACUGCGUCCGAUACUGGCAGGCUUGAAUUCGGGAGAGGGAUGCGGAAUUCCAGGUGUAGCGGUGAAAUGCGUAGAUAUCUGGAGGAACACCGGUGGCGAAGGCGGGUCUCUGGGCCGAUACUGACGCUGAGGAGCGAAAGCGUGGGGAGCGAACAGG